rnacentral:rRNA from 1 species
AGAAUCAACGCUGGCGGCGUGCCUAACACAUGCAAGUCGAACGAGAAAGUGGAGCAAUCCAUGAGUAAAGUGGCGACCGGGUGAGUAACACGUGACUAACCUACCUUCGAGUGGGGGAUAACAUCGGGAAACCGAUGCUAAUACCGCAUAACAUCGCAAGAUCAAAGCAGCAAUGCGCUGGAAGAGGGGGUCGCGGCUGAUUAGCUAGUUGGCGGGGUAACGGCCCACCAAGGCGAAGAUCGGCAGCCGGCCUGAGAGGGCGCACGGCCACACUGGAACUGAAACACGGUCCAGACUCCUACGGGAGGCAGCAGUGGGGAAUUUUGCGCAAUGGGGGAAACCCUGACGCAGCAACGCCGCGUGGAGGAUGAAGCCCCUUGGGGUGUAAACUCCUUUCGACCAAGACGAUAAUGACGGUACUGGGUGGAAGAAGCACCGGCUAACUCUGCGCCAGCAGCCGC